ACAUACGCCAGCUCCUUUUCGUUUUGGUCGUCAGACGAAUCGCUUCGUCAUGAGGGCCAAGUGGAGGAAGAAGCGUAUGCGAAGGUUGAAGCGGAAACGCAGGAAGAUGAGGGAAAGGUCCAAGUGAACGACCCCUGACACCGCUUUCUCCAAUGCCUCUUUGAAUUUCGCGACGGAUCCUCAACGGACGGCGGAGAAAUAGCCAGGUCGUACGGCCCAGAACUCGAAUGAAGACACCGAUACUCACAAUCAUCGUCGAAUGGAGCUCCGGGCCAGAUCCAUGUAUAUGACAAUAAAUGCAAUGGCUAUACGCGGAGAG